UACAGAGGUGGCAAGCGUUGUUCGGAAUUACUGGGCGUAAAGGGCGCGUAGGCGGCCCGAUAAGUCCCGCGUGAAAGCCCCCGGCUCAACUGGGGAACUGCGCGGGAAACUAUCGGGCUUGAGUUCGGGAGAGGGAAGCGGAAUUCCGGGUGUAGCGGUGAAAUGCGUAGAUAUCCGGAGGAACACCGGUGGCGAAGGCGGCUUCCUGGACCGACACUGACACUGAGGCGCGAAAGCUAGGGGAUCAAACGGG
rnacentral:rRNA from 1 species